CAGAUGGAUAAGAAUCCAAGUUAGCGGGUAUGGCAGAGGAGAGCUGAAUAUGUGACAUUCGCACUGCUCCAAGUAAUCGCUCUGUUACUUUUGUAUCAAAAGUAAGGGACAUUGAAUGAACGUUUGCAAAGUUUAGAAAACAAACCUGUAUGAGGAAAGCCAUGUCAACCACCAAUGUUGUAAUCACACCAAUGACAAGUCCCAAAACUCCAUUAGCAACUGUCGAAGAGCCAAUAUCAACAUCCACCUGCGCAAGAACCAACCAAAGGGGUUAUCAGAAUAUUAUUUAUGUGAUCUAAAAAAUAGCAUCUCUACUGACGGAAGUAUAUUAUUAAUGGUUUCAUACUUCUAAAUACUUGGGGCCUCGAAUAUAGUUGCAAUCAACUGCUUUUCCCAAUAAGCAUGGAGUGCUUCCAACA